rnacentral:tRNA from 1 species
GGGCCGCUAGCUCAAUCGGCAGAGCAGCUGACUCUUAAUCAGCCGGUUCCGAGUUCGACUCUCGGGCGGCUCACCA